GCCACCUUAGCUCAGCGGUAGAGCUCCGGUUUUGUAAACCGGCGGUCGUCAGUUCAAUCCUGACAGGUGGCUCCA
rnacentral:tRNA from 1 species